CUUAAAAAGAAUUGUCAAGGUCC
rnacentral:piRNA from 1 species